AGGGUGAGGGAGUCCUGGACUAAGGGGUCCUCGAACGGUCGGCCCAUUUCUUAAAGACCGACCUAAUGGGCCGUUGAUGGGGUCAUAGUCCUAGGGUAGGGUCAUAGGCCUGCCAUACAGGUCCUACCCAAGGACUACCCCACACAAAGGACAGGACCCUAAGUCUGCCCCGACUGAAUUAAUGAGUCCCCAUCAUCCAGUCGGCAACAGGUCUUGUACCAUCCAGUCGGAGACUAGCAUUCGGAGAUACCAAGCUAACCGACUGGAUACACUCGGUACAUCGUAACCUCUCUGGAGGGAAACGGUCGUACGUUUCCGGGUGCAUUUAUUAGCAUUUAGAGCAUACGUUACCUGUAACGUGCGCAUUCAAUCCCCACUACUCCACCCCCGUACCGGAACCGUUGUGGAGGGCAGCGCACUCUAUAUAAGCCGCCCUCCCCCACUGGUAAAGGGGUUAGCAAAUCAUUGUAUUCCAUAUUACACUC
rnacentral:lncRNA from 1 species